UUUUCUAGAUUACAACUAGAACGAACUAGAACUAGAACUAGAGGAACUAGAACUAGAACUAGAUGAACUAGAACUAGAACUAGAUGAACUAGAGGUAGAACUAGAUGAACUAGAGGGAUCCUCUCUACUUGGAUGAAGAAUUGAAACCCUAGCUUUGAUUCUGUAGAAGAGGUAUGAUCUCCAGGGGCCAGGGGGCCUUGCUUAUAUAGUCUUUUCAGAUGAAUCUGGGCCGUCAGAACAAACUGACAUUGAUUGAACGGUUAUCCUUGAUCCUUUAGGUCGGUGGAGCAUGAUUCCUGAGUUGUACCCUGAUUGGGUAGAAGAGGAGGGCGGGCGCCCUAAGGAUUUGGGCGGGCGCCCUAUCCCUGAGCCCUCUCGGCCUCCGCUUCGGUCCCGUGGCUUCUGGAGUCUUCUAGAUGAUAGAAAAUUGCGCGGUACGUUAAUAUCUCUAUGUAAACCCGACGUGUGGGCCUUUCUUCCGUAUUUCCUGAUAACCCCCUGUAGAAAUAGACAAACACCAAAACUCGUGGAAUUCUGUCAGAUAAAACCCUAAGUCUGGGUGUUGGUUGCAUUUGGAUCCUUUUCCAUGAUUAGUUGAUGGUUAAAUGUGAGCAUUAAGGACCGUCAACAAGCUCUGCCAAGCUUAACCUUUGCUCGUCUCUGAGCAAAGAUGAACUCAAGAGUUUCUGCAGUGGUUUCAUGCCUUAAAGGUACACAUGCGUUCAAACAAGAUCUCAUCUCUGGGUUAGGGUAAACUGUUAAGAUUUAAACUUACUCAUUUUACCUUCCACCAUGGGGCUUACAACCGUCACUUAUGACUUGAGCAGUUAAAAUAUAGAACGGUCUAGUCAAGCGCCAUAUCUCUUGUUCUUUGAUUAAGUAUAACUCUGGAGUUUUUGCAGAUUUUCAAAUAAAACUUAGAGAUUCCUUGUAUGACUCUCUCAGAUCUCUCUUUUGUGGUAUUUCUGGAUCCUUACCAAGUCUGUGAUGGUAUAUACCUUCUCUCAAAAUAUGUAGUAUUUGUGGUAUGAAGCAUAGUGACAUUGCCUUCUCUCUCAUCCUACUCAAAUAAGGCUUUUGAUAUCUGGAGCUCAUAGGUGGGAGACAGCUAAUACAUACUUACAAGACAUUUAUUGCAUAGUCAAACCAUAGAUCCAGAAGAACAAGUCAAUAAGUCAAAUCAAGAUGUGCAUGUGUGGCGAAUGAAUGGUGUAUGGUGAUGAUAGUGGUAACAAUGGUGAAAGUCUAAUUCUACUUGUGCUCCUUUGAGGGAUACAUACCUUUCUUGCUCUUUUGAAACUUUUUGAGGAGAAUGAGAUGCUCUAUAUUUUCUUUUUCUUUUCUCUCAGGCGGGUAUCUUGUACCCCUAAUUAUACUAUCGGACACUUGUCCAUUUUUACCUCUCGUCUCACUUUUUCUUUUCUUUCGAGGUUCCAGGCACUUGCCCCUUUUUAUUUCCUCGCAUCUUCUCUCUUUUUUUUCUCUUUUUUAAGAGCACUCAUUUCAUGAGAUAAUAUAGCAAGUGGUAGUAACCAAGAUAACUUGAGCAUUUAUUUCACAGGGGAAAAACAGAAAUGUUUUUGGCUAUUCUCUCCCAGAUUAGGAGUAGAAUAUUUUUGGGUGGCUUUGGAGAUGGAAAUGGGUGGAUAUAUGUGGAUGCGUACUUCCGGAGUAGAAGCAGCAUGUGUGAGUGAACGUGCAAGUGAAUCUUGAUUUAACCACAUGACAAGCUCCUAAGGGUCUACACAGCUUGACCACACUCAAUGCUCAUAAGCAGUAAAAAGUAAAUGUGUGGCUCAAAGUCUAGCAAGCAUAUAUAUAUGGCUGUGGUAGCAAUUUAAACUCUCAUCAUAGAGGAACUCAUCAUGCGUUAUUUUAAAUAUUUUAAAGAUAAAAUUCUCUAGAAUUCUAGCAUCUCUAGGAAUAGAUAAACAGCAGCUCAACCUUCCCAUAUCGUAUCCGUUAACAACUUAGACUUUAGAUCAAAUACUCUCCCCACAAGUUUAGGUUUAGAGCAAAUCUUAAUUAAUACCAGUUGUCGGUGUUUUCCCCACGGGGGGUCACACCAACGAGUAAAUUUGUAUGCAUGCUCCCUUUCCCAGAUGGUGAUGCAAGAAGACACAAAGAUUUAUCCUGGUUCGGGCAAGAGAAGGCCCUACAUCCAGCGGGGGAGGGGAGUCUGUAUUAUCUCGCACCUAAGUGCUUGUACAGGGGUGAAUACAAGCGUGGUAUGAAGUAUGGGAGUUCUACUGCGUAUGAGUCUCCUGCCGUUCUAUUCCUGAGUCCCUCCUUUUAUAGCUCCAAGGAGAGACCUAGGGUACAACCGUAGGUGUCAGAGUAGGGGUCGAUAGCAGCAUGGAGUGCUGACCUACACGAGGCUUCCGUACCGGCAUGGCCUCGAGCCGUGCUGUCUUGAUAGCCUGGUGAUGAUUACGCGUGCCCCUGCAUUCUGCUCUGCGCGCCGUCUUGCGUUGGUUCAACGGUCGCACGCUUGUACGAUAUGGCGGCAGAUCCGGCGGGGUGGUUGUGGUGUUGUC
rnacentral:lncRNA from 1 species